GAUUCUCCCGCCUCAGCCUCCCAAGUAGCUGGGAUUACAGGGGUUUCCUUGGGUCAAUCAGAAAGGCGGUCAUGAACUCAGAAAGUAGCUGAAGAAGAUAGAAUUUCCUGUUUCCUGCGUCAGUGCUGUCAAGAGUUGGGCACAUGUGAUCCAGGCUUGGCUAUUCAGAUGAGCAGUCUUGCCACCUUGAUUCUUGGAUAAACAACCCGAUGACCGAGUGAAAGACUAGACAUCACACAACUCAGCUGCAAGUGCUGCCCAGUAUGUUCCUGGAUCUUAGCCUUCUCGACUUAGUGUCUUCAACCUUCCCUUGCUCUCAGUACCUGCAAGUGUGACCUUAUUUGGAAAUAAGGUCUUUGCAGAAAAUCAAAUUAAGAUAAGGUUAUACUGAAUUAGAGUGGAUUUGUAAUCCAGUAUGACUGGAAUCCUUAUAAGAACAGAAGAAACACACAAAUACCCAGUGAGAAUGACAUGUGACUACAGAGGCAGUGAUUGGGGUGAUCUAUCUACAAGCCAAGGAAGGAUAAGGAUUGCUGGGAAACACCAGAAGCUGGGAGAGGCAAGGAAGAACUGUGAGAUAAUAAAUGUCUAUUGUUUUAAGCAACCUAGUUCAUGGUAUUUUGUUACCGCAGUCCUUGGAAACCAACGCGCUAUCAAUAAAUUCUGUUUGGGGCACUAAGAUCCUGAAAAUGUCUUUUCCUCUUCACAUUACACACGAGGAAACCAGACUGUGAACAUAAUAUGAGUUACUUGAGAAUUAAAGAUCGGCUCUGGUGCCUGCCUGGGCUCAAGUGAUCCUCU